rnacentral:rRNA from 1 species
GACGUAGGGGGCGAGCGUUGUCCGGAUUUAUUGGGCGUAAAGCGUGCGUAGGCGGCUGCGCAAGUCGGUUGUGAAACCCCGGGGCUCAACCCCGGAACUGCAUCCGAUACUGCGUGGCUAGAGGUAGGUAGGGGAGAUCGGAAUUCCUGGUGUAGCGGUGAAAUGCGCAGAUAUUAGGAAGAACACCAGUGGCGAAGGCGGCUCACUGGUCCGGUACUGACGCUAAGGCGCGAAAGCGUGGGGAGCGAACAGG